CCUACGGGAGGCAGCAGUGAGGAAUAGUGGUAAAUGGACGAGAGUCUGAACCAGCCAAGUAGCGUGAAGGAUGACUGCCCUAUGGGUUGUAAACUUCUUUUAUAAAGGAAUAAAACGAGGCACGUGUGCCUUUUUGCAUGUACUUUAUGAAUAAGGAUCGGCUAACUCCGUGCCAGCAGCCGCGGUAAUACGGAGGAUCCGAGCGUUAUCCGGAUUGAUUGGGUUUAAAGGGAGCGUAGAUGGGUUGUUAAGGCAGGUGUGAAAGUUUGCGGCUCAACCGUAAAAUUGCAAUUGAUACUGGCAGUCUUGAGUACAGUUGCGGUAGGCGGACUUCGUGGUGUAGCGGUUAACUGCUUCGAUCUCAC
rnacentral:rRNA from 1 species